UGGUACAGUAAUGUCAAACUGACCUUGCUCUAAAAUGGCAUGGGCCCCUUAUGGGAGAGACGGGGUCGAGGGCGUCUCCUCCUCCAGCCAGAGGGUCUUUGGCUCCGGCCGGCUCGAGCGGUAUUCUGCCGUAAAGGAGUCCUCAUGCUGCCCACCUCCUCCAGCUCUUUGCUAUGCUCGGUGGAGGCCAUUGGACCUGUGGACAGAAAAGCUUGAGACUGCAGUCAUAACAGCUCUUGUAAGGGCGUCUCCACAAACAUGCAUAAUGGAGACCGGCAACGCAGCCACAUCAUAAGUCAAAGAAGAGGCGUGGAGUCCCAUGGGGGUGUAACCAUGGCUGACGGUGACGUCAGAGGCGUGAUCCCUAGUGUCUCAGAGGACAUUCAUUCAAUGAAAUAAGAGAGAGAGAUAUCUCCACACUUAGCUGCUUUUUUUCCCCGCCACACACGCAGGCAUGACAAUUUGAUGCCCGCUAAGACUAUCCUUUAGCUAGUCACACUUGAUCAUGAGCAUUAUGCUUAGAAUGAGACACGUUAAUUAGCAUGAAACCCCAGUCUGAAUCACUUGCCUAGCUCAUAAAUAAGACCCUGUUGCACUAAAUUUCCUAACAGUGUGCUAUUAUCUCA